rnacentral:rRNA from 1 species
GACGAACGCUGGCGGCGUGCUUAACACAUGCAAGUCGAGCGGUAAGGCCCUUUCGGGGGUACGACGAGCGGCGAACGGGUGAGUAACACGUGGGUGACCUGCCCUCAGCUCUGGGAUAAGCCUGGGAAACCGGGUCUAAUAACCGGAUAUGACUCCAUGACGCAUGUUGUGGGGUGGAAAGCCUUGUGCGGCUGAGGAUGGGCCCGCGGCCUAUCAGCUUGUCGGUGGGGUGAUGGCCUACCAAGGCGACGACGGGUAGCCGGCCUGAGAGGGCGACCGGCCACACUGGGACUGAGACACGGCCCAGACUCCUACGGGAGGCAGCAGUGGGGAGUCUUGCGCAAUGGGCGAAAGCCUGACGCAGCGACGCCGCGUGAGGAUGACGGCCUGU